rnacentral:rRNA from 1 species
GGGUGGGUGACCGACCUACUCGCCGCCAACCCCGGGACCGCCCCCGCGGGACCCACUGCCGGCCAACGGCGUCGCGACGCGCCGGCCACUACGGAGAGUGACUCGGCGACGACCGCAGUUCGCCUGCCGGAGCGCCCGCUGGAAAAGGGGACGGCGCGUUCCCACGAGCGGGAACGGGUCGACCUCGGUCGGGUGUCGCGCCACGGGCGAGCUGGCUAACAACCGGGAGAGACGCCGAAGCGAAACCCCCGGCCACCUGCCGGCGCCCGCCCUCGUGGCCGACUCGCGCAGCUACCCGACCGGUUGCGGCGUCCGUAGUGCGAGAGGAAAUGCGUCAGGCGAGUCGGAGACCGUGCCCGCGGCCCGGCCUUGGAGGAGGUCCGUUUCGAUCGACCGACGGCGCACCUCCGACCCUUCUGACUGAAUCCCCCCGCAAGAGGAUUU